UACGUAGGGUGCAAGCGUUAAUCGGAAUUACUGGGCGUAAAGCGUGCGCAGGCGGUUUUGUAAGUCUGUCGUGAAAUCCCCGGGCUCAACCUGGGAAUGGCGAUGGAGACUGCAAGGCUAGAAUCUGGCAGAGGGGGGGUAGAAUUCCACGUGUAGCAGUGAAAUGCGUAGAUAUGUGGAGGAACACCGAUGGCGAAGGCAGCCCCCCUGGGCUAAGAUUGACGCUCAU
rnacentral:rRNA from 1 species